rnacentral:lncRNA from 1 species
UAUUUUAAAACUUGUCUAUAUUUGAGGUAUACAAUGUGGUGUUCUGAUAAUACAUAUAUAUGGUGAAGUGAUUACUAUAGUUAAUUAAUAUAUUCGUCGUCUCACAUACUAUGUUAGUCCUUUCUCACACUGCUAUAAUAAAGAGUUACCUGAGACUGGGUAAUUUAUAAAGGAAAGGAGGGUUAAUUGGCCAAAACAAAGGUGCCACAGCCCCAUGCAAGUCCCAAAUCCAGCGGGGUAAUAAUUAAAUUGGGCCUGGCACAAAAAUUAUUUUUUCCUCCUAGGCCUCUGGGCCUCUGAUGGGAGAGGCUGCCACCAAGAUCUCUGACAUGCCCUGGAGGCAUUUCCCCCAUUAUCUUGGUGAUUAACAUUGGCUACUCGUUACUUAUGCAAAUUUCUGCAGCAGGCUUGAAUUUCUCCCCAGAAAAUGGGGUUUUCUUUUUUUAUUGCAUUGUCAGACUGCAAAUUUUCCAAACUUUUAUGCUCUGCUUCCCUUUUAAAUGUAAGUUCCAAUUUCAGAUAAUCUCUAUCAAGUUCAAAAGUCCACAGAUCUCUAGGGCAAGGGCAAAAUGCCACCAGUCUCUUUGCUAAGGCAUAGCAAGAGUGACCUUUGCUUCAGUUCCCAGUAAGUUCUUCAUCUCCAUAUGAGACCACCUCAGCCUGGACUUCAUUGUCCAUAUUACUAUCAGCAUUUUGGUCAAAACCAUUCAACAAGUCUCUAGGAAGUUUCAUACUUUUCCACAUAUUUCUGUCUUCUUCUGAGCCCUCCAAACUGUUCCAAUCUCUACCCAGUUCCAAAGUCUUUUCCAUAUUUUCAGUUAUCUUUAUAGCAGUACCCCGCUGUGCUGGUACCAAUUCUCUGUAUUAGUCUAUUUUCACACUGCUAUAAAGAUACUACCUGAGACUGGGUAAUUUACAAAGAAAAGAGAUUUAAUUAACUCACAGUUUUGCAAGGCUGAGGAGGCCUCAGGAAACUUCCAAUUAUGGCAGAAGGCGAAACAGGCACCUUCUUCACAAGGUGGCAGCAAAGUGAACCCUUGUGAAGAAGGAACUGUCAAACACGCAUAAAACCAUUAGAUCUUGUGAGAACUCACUAUCACGACAACUGCAUGGGGAAACCACCCCAUGAUUCAAUCACCUCCCAUGAGGUCCUUCCCUAAACUCCUGGAGAUUACAAUUUGAGAUGAGAUUUGGGUGGGGACACAAAGUCAAACCAUAUCACAAAGUUAAUCUUUCCUUUUAGUUAAUCUUGUAGGAUUACCUAAGAUAGACCCUUCUGGCAAAUUUCCAGCAUACAGUACAAUAUUAUUAAUAAUCUUCACAUUGUACACUA